AGACUAAAGAAUGCCUGCCAUGAGGAGAACGACCUUGGCUCUCUUAUACCUGCUUCCUCUGCUCCAAGGGAGUCCAGUUCCAACCCCAGAAUUCAUACACAUUAUCAAUGACCCGGUGCUAUCUGCCGACCCAGAGCCAGUGGUUGUCCUGGAGCCUGAAGAGCCGGCUGUUGUCAUAGAGCCGCUCACUGGUGGAGAGCUGGUCAUUAACCUAGAGCCAAGUGAGGAACUAGAUUUAACCGCUGACCUAGAGUCCACCACAGACCUGGAGUCGACCACAGACCUAGAGUCGGCCACUGACCUAGAGUUGACCACAGACCUAGAGUCGGCCACUGACGUAGAGUUCUUUCGUGGUGGAGAAUUGACUACUGAAGCGUAUUUGAAGAACACACAGGCUUUUGAAUUGUCUACUGCUGUGGAAUCAAGCACCCUCAGCUUUGAGAAAGAAGCCACUGAGGCCACAGUUGACUACAAUUCAGUUCAGCCAGAGAGCUUUGCCAACAAAGAUUAUGAAGUUGUCACUGCUGCUUAUUUCGAUGAGCCCAUCCUUGUAGCAUCAGAUGAGCCCAUCACCUCAUUUGGAAACGACGAGUCCGUCUCAGUGCUUUUUUAAAAUGAAGCAGAUUUUCCGUUAGCUGUGCCCAUCACUCUGCUAACCACAACUUUCUAAGAAGAUUCUGAGCUUCUGGACAAGCCUAUCAUUUCAUUAUAGGAAAUUGAAUAAUUGUAAAAGACUAUGAGAUAUAGGAUGUACGCAGCUGAGGAUAAACAGAGGAGGGAAUUGUAUACAGACAGAAGAGGGGCAUCUCUUGACCAUGCCCGUUUAAUAUGGGGUCAAUAAAUGUUCCUUUGAAAUAAAUUCUGAGAGGAGU
rnacentral:lncRNA from 1 species